rnacentral:rRNA from 1 species
UACGGGGGGGGCAAGCGUUGUUCGGAAUUACUGGGCGUAAAGGGCUCGUAGGUGGCCAACUAAGUCAUACGUGAAAUCCCUCAGCUUAACCGGGGAACUGCGUCUGAUACUGGAUGGCUUGAGGUUGGGAGAGGGAUGCGGAAUUCCAGGUGUAGCGGUGAAAUGCGUAGAUAUCUGGAGGAACACCGGUGGCGAAGGCGGCAUCCUGGACCAAUUCUGACACUGAGGAGCGAAAGCCAGGGGAGCAAACGGG